GACGAACGCUUGCGGCGUGCUUAACACAUGCAAGUCGAACGGAAAGGCCCUGCUUUUGUGGGGUGCUCGAGUGGCGAACGGGUGAGUAACACGUGAGUAACCUGCCCUUGACUUUGGGAUAACUUCAGGAAACUGGGGCUAAUACCGGAUAGGAGCUCCUGCUGCAUGGUGGGGGUUGGAAAGUUUCGGCGGUUGGGGAUGGACUCGCGGCUUAUCAGCUUGUUGGUGGGGUAGUGGCUUACCAAGGCUUUGACGGGUAGCCGGCCUGAGAGGGUGACCGGCCACAUUGGGACUGAGAUACGGCCCAGACUCCUACAGGAGGCAGCAGUGGGGAAUAUUGCUCAAUGGGCGGAAGCCUGAUGCAGCUACGCCGCGUGCGGGAUGACGGCCUUCGGGUUGUAAACCGCUUUCGCCUGUGACGAAGCGUGAGUGACGGUAAUGGGUAAAGAAGCACCGGGUAACUACGUGCCACCACCCGCGUUGAUACGUAUGGUGCGAGCGUUGUCCGGAUUUAUUGGGCGUAAAGGGCUUCGUAGGUGGUUGAUCGCGUCGGAAGUGUAAUCUGGGGGUUAAACCCUGAGCGUGCUUUCGAUACGGGUUGACUUGAGGAAGGUAGGGGAGAAUGGAAUUCCUGGUGGAGCGGUGGAAUGCGCAGAUAUCAGGAGGAACACCAGUGGCGAAGGCGGUUCUCUGGGCCUUUCCUGACGCUGAGGAGCGAAAGCGUGGGGAGCGAACAGGCUUAGAUACCCUGGUAGUCCACGCUGUAAACGGUGGGUACUAGGUGUGGGGUCCAUUCCACGGGUUCCGUGCCGUAGCUAACGCUUUAAGUACCCCGCCUGGGGAGUACGGCCGCAAGGCUAAAACUCAAAGGAAUUGACGGGGCCCCGCACAAGCGGCGGAGCAUGCGGAUUAAUUCGAUGCAACGCGUAGAACCUUACCUGGGUUUGACAUGGAUCGGGAGUGCUCAGAGAUGGGUGUGCCUCCUUUGGGGUCGGUUCACAGGUGGUGCAUGGCUGUCGUCAGCUCGUGUCGUGAGAUGUUGGGUUAAGUCCCGCAACGAGCGCAACCCUUGUUCACUGUUGCCAGCACGUUAUGGUGGGGACUCAGUGGAGACCGCCGGGGUCAACUCGGAGGAAGGUGGGGAUGACGUCAAGUCAUCAUGCCCCUUAUGUCCAGGGCUUCACGCAUGCUACAAUGGCUGGUACAGAGAGUGGCGAGCCUGUGAGGGUGAGCGAAUCUCGGAAAGCCGGUCUCAGUUCGGAUUGGGGUCUGCAACUCGACCUCAUGAAGUCGGAGUCGUUAGUAAUCGCAGAUCAGCAACGCUGCGGUGAAUACGUUCCCGGG
rnacentral:rRNA from 1 species